rnacentral:rRNA from 1 species
AUUGAACGCUGGCGGCAUGCUUUACACAUGCAAGUCGAACGGUAACAGGCCGCAAGGUGCUGACGAGUGGCGAACGGGUGAGUAAUGCAUCGGAACGUGCCCAGUCGUGGGGGAUAACUGCUCGAAAGAGCAGCUAAUACCGCAUACGAUCUAUGGAUGAAAGCGGGGGACCGUAAGGCCUCGCGCGAUUGGAGCGGCCGGUGUCAGAUUAGGUAGUUGGUGGGGUAAAGGCUCACCAAGCCAACGAUCUGUAGCUGGGCUGAGGGGACGACCGGCCAAACUGGGACUGAGACACGGCCCAGAGUCCUACGGGAGGCAGCAGGGGGUAAUUUUGGACAAUGGGGGCAACCCUGGUCCAGCAAUGCCGCGUGCGGGAAGAAGGCCUUCGGGUUGUAAACUGCUUUUGUACGGAACGAAACGGUCUGGGUUAAUACCCUGGGCUAAUGACGGUACCGUAAGAAUAAGCACCGGCUAACUACGUGCCAGCAGCCGCCGUAACAC